rnacentral:rRNA from 1 species
AACGAACGCUGGCGGCAUGCCUAACACAUGCAAGUCGAACGAGACCUUCGGGUCUAGUGGCGCACGGGUGCGUAACGCGUGGGAACCUGCCUUUAGGUUCGGAAUAACUCAGAGAAAUUUGAGCUAAUACCGGAUGAUGUCUUCGGACCAAAGAUUUAUCGCCUUUAGAUGGGCCCGCGUAAGAUUAGCUAGUUGGUGGGUAAAGGCCUACCAAGGCGACGAUCUUUAGCUGGUCUGAGAGGAUGAUCAGCCACACUGGGACUGAGACACGGCCCAGACUCCUACGGGAGGCAGCAGUGGGAAUAUUGGACAAUGGGCGAAAGCCUGAUCCAGCAAUGCCGCGUGAGUGAUGAAGGCCUUAGGGUUGUAAAGCUCUUUUACCCGAGAUGAUAAUGACAGUAAUCGGGAGAAUAAGCUCCGGCUAACUCCGUGCCAGCAGCCGCGGUAAUGUGACUACUG